GGAAUGUGGUGAUGACCAACAGGAAUUUUAUGAGUGUCCCUCUGUGGAGGAGCCUGAGAGAAAGGCUCAUGGAGGGCAGAGGGUGGAGGGCGUGGGACCAAGUUCCUUAGAUAAGGCUGUGGCCCCAUGGUAAGGGUCUGGACGGGGAAGGUCAGUGUUAACCCUUUGAAGGGCCCCCGGGGAGUGGAUCAGGUUCAGAGCCCAAGGCUUUCACACAUAGGUGUGUUCUAAAGCUGGUAAAGCCUCGGAUCAUCAGCCAGUGUCAGGUGUCACAGCAUAGCCAAGCGACCAGACGAGCAGAUGAGACCUUGUUAAUCUCCAGUGGUGAUGAGUAACCGUUCUCUCUAUCACAUAUCACAUACUGGUGAUUCAUCCAGGUGGCGCUAGGAGGGAUCUUCGCCGCAGAGGGCAUUCGAGAGAUGACAACUCUAGACAUCCAUGCAACUUCUGUUCUUGUGCUCCUGCUGUUUUCAAAUUCCACAGUCACAGACUGCACCCUGGAAAACUCAGGACACCCUAGAGUGAACUGCUCUGAAGAACAAAGUUGCUACUUGCUUGCUACCUCUGGUUGCUACCCCUGGUUGUGUUUGGUUGCCACAUAAUGAAAUGAUUUUCCUUCCCUCUUUUAUUUCCUUUCUUUCUUUUUUUUCUGCUACAAAUGGAAAAAUAGUUUGAUCACCUUGAAUCUUUUCACCCUUGGUAUUCUCCCCCUUCACACCCGAGCACCGCCCCUUGAUAAAUGAGAACACGUGUACUGAAAUCGCAGACUUCACCCUCCAGACUCAUCGUCCUCAUGCUCUCAGGGGGGACAUGUUUCCUUUCAAACCUCCAGAAUAAAUUCAUCACAGCAGGAAGAAGAUUGUUUUUCUUAAAAAAAAUCAAA
ensembl:lncRNA LINC00445 long intergenic non-protein coding RNA 445